UUUCCGUAGGUGAACCUGCGGAAGGAUCAUUACUGAGUGAGGGCCCCUCGGGGUCCAACCUCCCACCCGUGUUUAACGAACCUUGUUGCUUUGGCGGGCCCGCCUCACGGCCGCCGGGGGGCAUCUGCCCCCGGGCCCGCGCCCGCCGAAGCCACCUGUGAACGCUGUCUGAAGUAUGCAGUCUGAGACAAUUAUUAAAUUAAUUAAAACUUUCAACAACGGAUCUCUUGGUUCCG
rnacentral:misc_RNA from 1 species